GGAGGAGGUGCCUCGAUUUUUCUGGAAGAAGGUGGCAGAAAGAGCAAAUCAAGCUAAGAGGGCCUGCUAGCUGGUGGCUCUUUCCUGCUCAGGACAGUGCUCUUGGACAGACCCUCCAGUGGGCACUUAAGAGUCCUAGGAAGCCCAGAGAUGCCAAAUGAUUGAGGUCCGAGGUCAUCCAGCAUCAGAGCCAGGAUUACCCAAUCACUUAAAAUGCAGCUCAACUGUGAAAGUGAGGAGGGAGAAUAUAAGUGUGAGUUCAUGACCCGCCAUCCUCAGGGGAAGCCUGCAUCAUGUCACCCCCGCCAGGUGAUGCACGUGCACAUGCCUCUGAUCUAUCUAACCUGCCAGCUACAGAAAUCAAGACAAAGCCUGGAAUCUACCAACCUACCAGCAUCUCCAGCAGGAAAGGGUGGAGCCUCCCUGCCCAGUUCACACCCCCAUAAGAAGAACAGGGGUAGAAGAGAAUAGCGGGAGUUGAGGCGACCAGGCACGGCGUGGGUCCUCUGCCUCAGGAGCGCCCACAGGGAAGGCUCAAGUCAUACCAUCCUCGUGUCCCAGGGAACAGAGGAAGAAGACUGUAUCCUAGUGGAAAAGAUGAGAUGGUUCCUUCCUGUAAGGUUUGGGGAGGCUGGCACCUACCGAUGUGCUCCCGCUGGCGUUGAGGAGGAAGUUUGCAGUGUGGGCCGCUGUGGGUGGCUGGUUGGGGAUGGGCCGGUGGCCCAGGGCCAUGCCCACAAUGGCCGUCAUGUGAGUCUCUGUGCCAAAGACAUGGAUGGGGAUCCCAGUGGUCUUCCCUGUAAGGGAAGGAAAAAAAAAUCCAUAAUUCAAGUCUGCAGAUAAGCGCCCAAGUCCAUGUGACCCUGCAAAGGGCCUUUUACAGCCAUGAUCAGUGUUUGGUGCAUUCAGUGCAAGACCAACAUCCAGGACAAAUCAGCUGUCAUAAUUUCACCACCAGACAAAUCUUUCUAAAGGCCACUUGCUGAUAACAAGAACAAGAAACAGGCCAGGUGCAGUGGCUCACACCUGUAAUCCCAGCACUUUGGGAGGCCAAGGCGGGCAGAUCACUUGAGGUCAGGAGUUUGAGACCAGCCUGGCCAACGUGGUGAAACCCUGUCUCUACUAAAAACACAAAAAAUUAGCCAGGCGUGGUGGCGUGCGCCUGUAAUCCCAGCUACUCGGAGGCUCAGGCAGGAGGAUCCCUUGAAACUGGGAGGCAGAGGUUGCAAAGUAAGCUGAGAUUGCGCCACUGCACUCCAGCCUGGGUGACAGAGUGAGACUCUUGUCUCCAAAAAAAAAAAACCACACAAGAAACAUAUUUACUGGCAAGAUUCAAGUAACCAAAUUAUCAGAGCCCAUAUUCCUCCUGUUCGCAGUCUGGACCCCAGCUCUCCAGCUUUCCUUAGCCCUCAUCGCAUGCAUCCACCAGUGCUUGGUCUCUGUUCCUAAACACCCUGAGCCCAUUCCCCCAGGGCUCUGGUCCUGCUUCUCCCUCUGCGUGGAGCUCUCCAUGGAGCUUCACCUGGCUGCUCUCUGGUCUCCCAGUUCAACCCAAGCACUACCUCCUGAGAAAGGCCCCCUCUGACCUUGAUGGUCACUCUCCCAUGCCACGCUCCCCUCCUCCUUGUACAGACAGACCCCUAGCAUCUUCUCCUACUGUUUACUUGUGGAAUGUUCUAAUUUUAAGAGCAUGAUCUGGUAACCUCACUGUGCUGUCCCCAGGCCUGCCCCACUGCACAUAGCAGAUCCUCAGCUUUGAACCAGCUCUAUUAAAAAGAAAACAAAAGGCUCACACCUGUAAUCCCAACACUUUGGGAGGCCUAGGCAGGUGGAUUGCUUGAGUCCAAGAGUUCGAGACCAGCCUGGGCAACAUGGCAAAAGUUCGUCUACAAACAAAUUAGCCAGGCGUGUGCUAAUUUUUUGUACAAAAAUUGUGUAUUUAUUGUGGCAUGUAUCUGUAGUCCCAGCUACUCAGGAGGUUGAGGUGGGAGGAUCCCUUGAGUCUGGGAGGCAGAGGUUGCAGUGAGCUGUGAUCACACCACUGCACUCCAGCCUGGGUGACAGAGUGAGACCCUGUCUCC